rnacentral:tRNA from 1 species
GGUUAUUUUUUUGGAAAAAGAUUUGUUUUGAAAACAAAUUUCAAGUGUUCGACUCACUUAAUAACUU